rfam:Ornithorhynchus anatinus chromosome X1, whole genome shotgun sequence.
CCCCUCUCAGGAUCACACCUGGAGAAUUUCUAGUAUUCUACCAGUCUUGGCUAUGGGAGGGAGUGUCAAGCAGAGGCCUACCCAUUUCAUUCCUAGCUUGGGCAGUGGCUAGCAAGUGGAAGGCAAUCUGCUGCAAGU